ACCAUCCCACGCUCUCCCAGGAGGCGGCGGCAGGAAGUGCAGUCUACAGUAAGGGAAAGCCGCCGGAGCUGGAGACAGGCUGGAAAGAGCAGCAAUUCCAUUUUGGAAAAUUUAUCCUGAGGAAAUAAAUAAAGAUGUAAACAGAGAAUAACUUACAGAUGUGACGUUUGUGAUCGUUAAAACUGGAAACAGCGCAAGAGUGGACGAUAGGGGAUGAGAGAGCCACACAGCGCAUAGAAGAUGAUCAGUCUGAAGAGAGGGUUUUCAGACAUGCAAUUAACUGCUAUUCACUGUACUUCAUUUUAACUGCAAACUAGCAGUCUCUUUCCCCAGGAAAAAAGAGGUCAACUCGGAGGAGCCAGGGAUUCAGCCCACUCUGGACAACACUCAGAGCCAUGGCACCUACCUGUAUGAAAAAAAAUUGUUAAGCAGCUGCCACUCCUAGUUACUGGCCUCUGCUCGGUGACUGAUGCACUUCUAACAUCCUUGUCCCAGGAUAAAGACCUUGUAAUGGAGAAAAAAGAUGGCAGGGAUCCUUUCCAUGGAAUUUCGGCUGUUGUCUAGUGGACCUUCCAGGAAUUGUCUGAUUCUAUGGGAGUGCGCAACUUUGACUGUUCAGUUGGGCCAAUUGGCAACACUGUAGAGACGGAAACUAACUUGUGGAGGGCUGAGGGUGAUACAGACAUUUUCUGUCCGUGGUAAUGCAAAAGGUGUUCAUAGCAAUGCAAAUGGAUUUUAUCCAAUGGGGGAGAUAAAUAUUUGAACGGGCUCUCUUGUUAAUUACUAGUUAAUCAAAAUAUUUGACAUGUAUUCAUUCUAUAUUUAUAGGGGAGUCAUGAUUCUACCUUUUUGGAAAUGACCCUCUAGCAGUUUUAUUGGUCCUAUGAGAUACACAGUAGAUUCACCAGCCAGAGCCAGAUGAGCUGCACAGUUGCCAAAGGGAACUUCAGAUGCCACCAGAGCCUCAGCUCUGUCCUCCCUCACCUCCCAAGAAAGCCUGGAUCUUUGAGUUGUGUUGAUGGGCAUAUUCGUGUUUGCCACUUGAAGGAGUAAGAGGCCCGCGUGGAUCUGGAGGCAAGUGGCUGUGCCCUCCUGCAAUCUGCUCACCUGCAGAAAUGCUCGCGUAGGGCAGCUCUCAAUUUUCUGCCACCUCCUCAGCUUUUUCUGUGAAACAGAAGUUGGUUACUUUGGAUGAAAAUUAUCUUUCAUAUAGGUGGUUGGUACACGAAGCAAUAGUGACAAAUAAAACUCUGUGUGCGUGCUUCU
ensembl:lncRNA novel transcript